rnacentral:lncRNA from 1 species
CGUAUAAAGCUCAACACCCUACUUACCUGGGUUAUUCUGGCAAAAGUUCUAUUUUAGUCCAAAUUACCUGCUUUGGGAAGAAGGUUGCUUUUCUCAGGGGGUAAUUACCAGUGCAAUCGCAGCACCAUCUGCUCGCCUUAUGUUCUGUAGAUGACUCGAAGGAGAUAGUUUCAGGAGAGACCUGAAAAGGGAACAUUUCAGGAGGGAGGAAAUGAAGAUAACCUAAAAGAAAGUAAUAAUUAGGAACUUAAAGAGGAAGAACAUAUGGUUUUGAACAUAUAACUUAGCAGUGUCCUAGACCUCUGGCCCAGCUGAGGUUUUCCCAGGAGUAAGAACUGAGAGAGAGUCGGGGCUAGAACAGAGAGUGGCCAAUUAACCUAAAGGGAAUCUCCAGAGGGACCUAGCAGAGAGAAAUAGCAGAUGGUAUUCAUUUGUGAUUUUGUGGUGAAGAAGUAGCCGCAGGCUAGGUGCAAACGGCAGAAUCUUGCUUUCCAUAUUCUAAGACAAAACUUUAAAAGGAAAGCCUGCGUACCCAGGAGAAUUUUCAUGCAGUCAUCAUUCAUUUAAAAAAUAUACUUAACACCUCCUAAGCAGGAUGUAUUUCACUAGGCUGUUAGAGGAGAUAUGCUGAUGUGUAAGUUAUGGUUCCUUCCCUUGGGGAUUGUACAAUUCAAUAGGAAAGCAGGGGAAAUAAGAUGUGUGCAUGUCCAGGUAACUACCAUUCAUGGCACAUAAGUGCCACAUUAGGGAGACAAAGUGCUAUGGGGUUUCACAGAGGUGAGAGUUAAUUCCUGUUAGGGCAUGAGGAGGAGGCUUCAUGGAGAAUGUGGAAUUUGAGCGGGACCUCUGUGGAUAGAUAGAAUUUUGCUGAGCUCUGAGAGCCUGCCUUGUAUGGAGGUGGGAUUCAACAGAGAUUCAGGGACUUUAAGUAGAGUGGUUUGGGAUUUUAAUAUUUAUCUGGAGAGACAAAAUUAUAUAAAUAUUUUUCACACUUUAAAUACAUCUGAAAUUUGAUUCUGCAUUCUUGGGCGAUUAAGCUGCAUUUGAAAAAAUGUGUACAAUCAACCUUCAGUAGUUCUAGCUUUAGCAUAUGUUAAUCUUGCUCCUGCAGCUGUGACCUCAGAAAUAGAAUUUUAGCAAGAAUAAUUUUUUUAUAUAUUUAAAUUUUUUUUAGCUUUGGCAAACAAAGGCAGGAAUGGCUUGAA